ACAGGGGCGUGCGUGAGUUCCGGCGGCCUGCACCGGGCAAACCCCGUACCUUCCCAGCAUCGGCUCAGCAACCCACGUGCAUCCAGGCCGGUCAAUGUCAUUGAGUCACCUCCGCGCCUUGGCCACCCUGGAGUCCCGAGAAUCCGAAGUUCCAGACAAAUGCCCAAACUACAUUCCUGCAUGUUCGAAAGCGUAAAUUGCAAAGCACAAAUCCAGUUGUAGAUUGUGGCCGGGAGCAGUGGCUCACGCCUAUAAUCCCAGCACUUUGGGAGGCCGAGGCGGACAGAUCACGAGGUCAGCACUUCGAGACCAGCAUGGCCAACAUGGUGAAGCCCCAUCUCUACUAAAAAUACAAACAUUAGCCAGGCAUGGUGGUAGGCCCCUGUAAUCCCAGCUACUCGGUAGGCUGAGGCAGGAGAAUCACUUGAACCCGGGAGGCAGAGGUUUCAGUGAGCUGAGACUGCACCAUUGCACUCCAGCCUGGGCGACAGACCAAGACUCCAUCUCAAAAAAAAAAAAAAAAAAGUUAUAGAUUGUAAGGAAAAUACCCCCAAGGAAGUUGAGGACACAGCAGACUUGGACUGUCUCCAAACCUGUUCAUUCUUCUGAGUGCACUGCUCGGAGCAUCCUAUUGGGCAGCAUAUCCUGGCCUCCUUUCCAGUUCGAUGUGGUACUAUACCUGAUUUCUGGCCAAUAAAAUAUGAGAGGACAUGAAAUUCAACAGCCCCUGGGCUUGGCUUAUAAAACCUUCCAUGCAAUCCUCCACACCUUUUCACCUCUCAGCUGCUGAGACUUUUCUAGGCACUACACAGAAGCAGCCUGGGUCUCCAGUAGCAAAGGAGAGCAGAUCCUUCUCACUAUCCUGCACCGAACUGUGACAUGAGCAAAAAAUAAAGUUUUUAUUUUCUUACAC
rnacentral:lncRNA from 1 species